AGUGAACGCUGGCGGUAGGCCUAACACAUGCAAGUCGAACGGCAGCACAGUAAGAGCUUGCUCUUACGGGUGGCGAGUGGCGGACGGGUGAGGAAUACAUCGGAAUCUACUUUUUCGUGGGGGAUAACGUAGGGAAACUUACGCUAAUACCGCAUACGACCUACGGGUGAAAGCAGGGGAUCUUCGGACCUUGCGCGAUUGAAUGAGCCGAUGUCGGAUUAGCUAGUUGGCGGGGUAAAGGCCCACCAAGGCCACGAUCCGUAGCUGGUCUGCGAGGCUGAUCAGCCACACUGGAACUGAGACACGGUCCAGACUCCUACGGGAGGCAGCAGUGGGGAAUAUUGGACAAUGGGCGCAAGCCUGAUCCAGCCAUACCGCGUGGGUGAAGAAGGCCUUCGGGUUGUAAAGCCCUUUUGUUGGGAAAGAAAAGCAGCAGGUUAAUACCCCGCUGUUCUGACGGUACCCAAAGAAUAAGCACCGGCUAACUUCGUG
rnacentral:rRNA from 1 species